GACGAACGCUGGCGGCGUGCUUAACACAUGCAAGUCGAACGGAAAGGCCCUGCUUGCAGGGUACUCGAGUGGCGAACGGGUGAGUAACACGUGGGUGAUCUGCCCUGCACUUCGGGAUAAGCCUGGGAAACUGGGUCUAAUACCGGAUAGGAGCCAUUUUUAGUGUGAUGGUUGGAAAGUUUUUUCGGUGUAGGAUGAGCUCGCGGCCUAUCAGCUUGUUGGUGGGGUAAUGGCCUACCAAGGCGGCGACGGGUAGCCGGCCUGAGAGGGUGGACGGCCACAUUGGGACUGAGAUACGGCCCAGACUCCUGCGGGAGGCAGCAGUGGGGAAUAUUGCACAAUGGGCGCAAGCCUGAUGCAGCGACGCCGCGUGGGGGAUGACGGCCUUCGGGUUGUAAACUCCUUUCGCUAGGGACGAAGCUCUUUGUGACGGUACCUAGAGAAGAAGCACCGGCUAACUACGUG
rnacentral:rRNA from 1 species